rnacentral:lncRNA from 1 species
GAAUUAGAGGUUUCUUCCACAUCUUGACCAGACUCUUGAAGACUUGUCAUGGGACCUGGAGGACCCGGUGGACCAGGAGGGCCCGGACCUGGAUGGGGACCAGGACCAGGAGGACCCGGACCUGGAUGGGGACCAGGAUUUGGAGGAUCAGGGAUCUUUCCACCAAUUGGUGGGUUCUUUGCUGGAUUUUCAGACAUGAUAUGUUCCUGGUAAAGACAUUAUAUCUGGUUCAUUGUUAUUUGUAUUUGUAUGAGAGUUAAAAGGGGUUG